rnacentral:rRNA from 1 species
UCCGUGCCAGCAGCCGCGGUAAUACGGAGGGAGCUAGCGUUGUUCGGAAUUACUGGGCGUAAAGCGCACGUAGGCGGCGAUCUAAGUCAGAGGUGAAAGCCCGGGGCUCAACCCCGGAAUAGCCUUUGAGACUGGAUUGCUUGAAUCCAGGAGAGGUGAGUGGAAUUCCGAGUGUAGAGGUGAAAUUCUGUAGAUAUUCGGAAGAACACCAGUGG